UCCCGCCUGCCCUGUGACCCACAGUUUAACGGCCGCGGUAUUUUAACCGUGCAAAGGUAGCGCAAUCAAUUGUCUUUUAAAUGAAGACCUGUAUGAAUGGCAUCACGAGGGUUUAGCUGUCUCUUUUUCCCGGUCAGUGAAACUGAUCUAUCCGUGCAGAAGCGGAUAUACCUCCACAAGACGAGAAGACCCUAUGGAGCUUUAGGCUCCCGCUAAUUGCAAAGAGCGGCUACUGCCCUAACUAUCGCAAUCUUAAGCGGAGCGCCUUCGGUUGGGGCGACCACGGGAGAUAGAAAAGCUCCCGAGAGGAAAAGGCCUUCGGCCUGGAGCUCAGAGAGACAUCUCUAAGCCACAGAAUAUCUGACCUUUAAUGAUCCGGCAUACUGCCGAUCAACGGACCAAGUUACCCUAGGGAUAACAGCGCAAUCCCCUCCCAGAGUCCAUAUCGACGAGGGGGUUUACGACCUCGAUGUUGGAUCAGGACAUCCUAAUGGUGCAGACGCUAU
rnacentral:rRNA from 1 species